UACGAAGGGUGCAAGCGUUAAUCGGAAUUACUGGGCGUAAAGCGUGCGCAGGCGGCUUUGCAAGACAGAUGUGAAAUCCCCGGGCUCAACCUGGGAACUGCAUUUGUGACUGCAAGGCUAGAGUACGGCAGAGGGGGAUGGAAUUCCGCGUGUAGCAGUGAAAUGCGUAGAUAUGCGGAGGAACACCGAUGGCGAAGGCAAUCCCCUGGGCCUGCACUGACGCUCAUGCACGAAAGCGUGGGGAGCAAACAGG
rnacentral:rRNA from 1 species